rnacentral:rRNA from 1 species
UACGUAGGGUGCGAGCGUUGUCCGGAAUUAUUGGGCGUAAAGAGCUCGUAGGCGGUGUGUCGCGUCGGUCGUGAAAACUUGGGGCUUAACCCUGAGCUUGCGGUCGAUACGGGCAUCACUGGAGUUCGGCAGGGGAGACUGGAAUUCCUGGUGUAGCGGUGAAAUGCGCAGAUAUCAGGAGGAACACCGGUGGCGAAGGCGGCGACCUGGGCAGAUACUGACGCUGAGGUGCGAAAGCGUGGGGAGCAAACAGG